rnacentral:lncRNA from 1 species
AGGCAACUCAGCCCGAUGCCUUGAGGGCAGCCUUGGCUGAGUUCAUCUCCACCCUUAUUUUUGUCUUUGCCGGUGAAGGGUCCGGCAUGGCCUUCGCCAAACUUACGGACGGUGCUGCCAACACACCCGCUGGACUUAUCGCUGCAGCUAUCGCCCAUGCUUUCGCUCUUUUCGUUGCUGUGUCUGUCGGUGCCAACAUCUCCGGUGGCCAUGUCAACCCUGCUGUUACUUUCGGAGCUUUUAUUGGUGGCAACAUCACCCUCUUGCGUGGCAUCCUUUACUGGAUCGCUCAGCUCCUGGGCUCCACUGUCGCUUGCUUGCUUCUCAAGUUCACCACUGGUGGCCUGGUAAGUCUAGACAACCCUCUGUCCUUGCCCUUUUUUUUAUUUGGUGAAAUCAGUUUUCAAGCUCGUUGUUUCAGUUAAGAUGAAGGUGUAACUAAAUUUUGGGUUUUGACAUGGCACAACGCAGGAAACCUCUGCUUUCGCUCUGUCCUCUGGGGUUGGUGUCUGGAACGCUUUCGUUCUCGAGAUCGUGAUGACCUUCGGGCUUGUAUACACAGUGUAUGCCACAGCUGUUGAUCCAAAGAAGGGUAACUUGGGGAUCAUAGCUCCAAUUGCAAUUGGUUUCAUUGUUGGUGCUAACAUUUUAGCUGGAGGUGCAUUUGAUGGAGCCUCAAUGAACCCAGCUGUGUCAUUCGGCCCUGCUUUGGUGAGCUGGACCUGGACCAACCACUGGGUCUACUGGGCAGGACCUUUGAUUGGCGGUGGACUUGCCGGGCUCAUUUAUGAGUUCUUCUUCAUUGGCUUCGGCAACCACGAGCAGUUGCCGACCGCUGACUACUAAAAAACAAGUGGAUGGCUAUAUGUGCAUG